rnacentral:rRNA from 1 species
AAAUUGAAGAGUUUGAUCAUGGCUCAGAUUGAACGCUGGCGGCAGGCCUAACACAUGCAAGUCGAGCGGUAGCACAGAGAGCUUGCUCUCGGGUGACGAGCGGCGGACGGGUGAGUAAUGUCUGGGAAACUGCCUGAUGGAGGGGGAUAACUACUGGAAACGGUAGCUAAUACCGCAUAACGUCGCAAGACCAAAGUGGGGGACCUUCGGGCCUCAUGCCAUCAGAUGUGCCCAGAUGGGAUUAGCUAGUAGGUGGGGUAACGGCUCACCUAGGCGACGAUCCCUAGCUGGUCUGAGAGGAUGACCAGCCACACUGGAACUGAGACACGGUCCAGACUCCUACGGGAGGCAGCAGUGGGGAAUAUUGCACAAUGGGCGCAAGCCUGAUGCAGCCAUGCCGCGUGUGUGAAGAAGGCCUUCGGGUUGUAAAGCACUUUCAGCGGGGAGGAAGGCGGUGAGGUUAAUAACCUCAUCGAUUGACGUUACCCGCAGAAGAAGCACCGGCUAACUCCGUGCCAGCAGCCGCGGUAAUACGGAGGGUGCAAGCGUUAAUCGGAAUUACUGGGCGUAAAGCGCACGCAGGCGGUCUGUCAAGUCGGAUGUGAAAUCCCCGGGCUCAACCUGGGAACUGCAUUCGAAACUGGCAGGCUAGAGUCUUGUAGAGGGGGGUAGAAUUCCAGGUGUAGCGGUGAAAUGCGUAGAGAUCUGGAGGAAUACCGGUGGCGAAGGCGGCCCCCUGGACAAAGACUGACGCUCAGGUGCGAAAGCGUGGGGAGCAAACAGGAUUAGAUACCCUGGUAGUCCACGCUGUAAACGAUGUCGAUUUGGAGGUUGUGCCCUUGAGGCGUGGCUUCCGGAGCUAACGCGUUAAAUCGACCGCCUGGGGAGUACGGCCGCAAGGUUAAAACUCAAAUGAAUUGACGGGGGCCCGCACAAGCGGUGGAGCAUGUGGUUUAAUUCGAUGCAACGCGAAGAACCUUACCUGGUCUUGACAUCCACAGAACUUUCCAGAGAUGGAUUGGUGCCUUCGGGAACUGUGAGACAGGUGCUGCAUGGCUGUCGUCAGCUCGUGUUGUGAAAUGUUGGGUUAAGUCCCGCAACGAGCGCAACCCUUAUCCUUUGUUGCCAGCGGUUAGGCCGGGAACUCAAAGGAGACUGCCAGUGAUAAACUGGAGGAAGGUGGGGAUGACGUCAAGUCAUCAUGGCCCUUACGACCAGGGCUACACACGUGCUACAAUGGCAUAUACAAAGAGAAGCGACCUCGCGAGAGCAAGCGGACCUCAUAAAGUAUGUCGUAGUCCGGAUUGGAGUCUGCAACUCGACUCCAUGAAGUCGGAAUCGCUAGUAAUCGUAGAUCAGAAUGCUACGGUGAAUACGUUCCCGGGCCUUGUACACACCGCCCGUCACACCAUGGGAGUGGGUUGCAAAAGAAGUAGGUAGCUUAACCUUCGGGAGGGCGCUUACCACUUUGUGAUUCAUGACUGGGGUGAAGUCGUAACAAGGUAACCGUAGGGGAACCUGCGGUUGGAUCACCUCCUUACCUUAAAGAA